GUACACACAUACACUCCAAAACAAUUUUUAAAUGUUAUUUUUUCACUGUUUGUUGCUUUUGUGUGUGUAUGUGUUGUGAUAUGUGUUUUUUUUUUUUAUUUCACAAUGGUACCUGCAGUGACUGCAGGCCUAGUACCUAUAAUCAAGGGCACGUAUGUGCUACAAACUUAGUGUGUCGCUCGCAACUGUGUUACUUUUGUGAUAUUAUUAAGAUAACUUGAAAUGUCUCCUUUGAAUUAUAGCCGUUCUACAUAAUAAACAAGUCUAGACACGAGUAU